GAAUAUGAAGCGAUCCAUUGCAAUUAGUUUCGACCUAAUCUUAGAUAAAUUUUAUCCUUAUUCU
rnacentral:tRNA from 1 species